AGGAUUUUAGUUAAAUAAUAACUUUUAAUUUGCAAUUAAACAUUAUAUAUUCUAUAUAUAUAUAAAUCUUA
rnacentral:tRNA from 1 species